rnacentral:misc_RNA from 1 species
AAGGUACAAUCUGGAGUACAGAGCGAGCGAUGAUGACUCAUGGUAUAGUGUACGACUCGUAAUGAAAGGCCAAACAAUGACUGUGAAGUAUGAGGGGUAUACGCAGGAAUAUGACGAGGUUUUUCAUGCUGGAGAUUUCAAGUCGAAGGAGGAGGUUGAUGAGCUGGUUAAGAGGUUUAGGUCUGUGUCACCUCAGAUGCAGGACAGCGAAUGUGGUAGUCUCAAGGAAGGGAUGAUUGUCUGUGUUGGAUGUAACGCUUUCGGCGGGGAGGACAUGCUGUUCUACGACGCUGUUAUUGAAGCGAUACACAAUGUGGACCAUUCAUUUUGCAAUGGAGAGGAAGAGUGUUUAUGCACAUUUGUUAUAUCCUGGUUUCAUGGUCCAAAGAAAGGAUAUUUAACCGAGACCGGAAUUGAAGGCAUGUGUAUUCUAAAAGGUGUUGCUCAAGUUGGUCCGAAAAUAGCUUCCUUCUUGAAAUUGGUGAACCGGAAUCUUGGAAAAUCAUCUUGCAUGUUGAUUGCUGCUUCGAGGUAUGAGGUUUCUGCGUCUGAAGGAUCAUCUUGUGUAAAUGGGGGCAGUAAUUUG